rnacentral:rRNA from 1 species
GCGAGCGAACGGGGAGGAGCCCAGAGCCUGAAUCAGCAUGUGUGUUAGUGGAAGCGUCUGGAAAGGUGCGCGAUACAGGGUGACAGCCCCGUACACAAAAGCGCAUGUGCUGUGAGCUCGAUGAGUAGGGCGGGACACGUGGUAUCCUGUCUGAAUAUGGGGGGACCAUCCUCCAAGGCUAAAUACUCCUGACUGACCGAUAGUGAACCAGUACCGUGAGGGAAAGGCGAAAAGAACCCCGGCGAGGGGAGUGAAAAAGAACCUGAAACCGUGUACGUACAAGCAGUGGGAGCACAGGUUUACCUGUGUGACUGCGUACCUUUUGUAUAAUGGGUCAGCGACUUAUAUUCUGUAGCAAGGUUAACCGAAUAGGGGAGCCGGAGGGAAACCGAGUCUUAAUUGGGCGUUAAGUUGCAGGGUAUAGACCCGAAACCCGGUGAUCUAGCCAUGGGCAGGUUGAAGGUUGGGUAACACUAACUGGAGGACCGAACCGACUAAUGUUGAAAAAUUAGCGGAUGACCUGUGGCUGGGGGUGAAAGGCCAAUCAAACCGGGAGAUAGCUGGUUCUCCCCGAAAGCUAUUUAGGUAGCGCCUCGUGAAUUCAUCUCCGGGGGUAGAGCACUGUUUCGGCUAGGGGGCCAUCCCGGCUUACCAACCCGAUGCAAACUGCGAAUACCGGAGAAUGUUAUCACGGGAGACACACGGCGGGUGCUAACGUCCGUCGUGAAGAGGGAAACAACCCAGACCGCCAGCUAAGGUCCCAAAGUCAUGGUUAAGUGGGAAACGAUGUGGGAAGGCCCAGACAGCCAGGAUGUUGGCUUAGAAGCAGCCAUCAUUUAAAGAAAGCGUAAUAGCUCACUGGUCGAGUCGGCCUGCGCGGAAGAUGUAACGGGGCUAAACCAUGCACCGAAGCUGCGGCAGCGAACGUAUCACCCAAGACAACUUUACGGAGUUGACGAUUGACGGAGCGAAGCGACGUCAAAGCGUUCAUUAAAGUCGAGUUGGCUUAGGGAUACGUUCGUUGGGUAGGGGAGCGUUCUGUAAGCCUGUGAAGGUGUGUCGUGAGGCAUGCUGGAGGUAUCAGAAGUGCGAAUGCUGACAUAAGUAACGAUAAAGCGGGUGAAAAGCCCGCUCGCCGGAAGACCAAGGGUUCCUGUCCAACGUUAAUCGGGGCAGGGUGAGUCGACCCCUAAGGCGAGGCCGAAAGGCGUAGUCGAUGGGAAACGGGUUAAUAUUCCCGUACUUGGUGUUACUGCGAAGGGGGGACGGAGAAGGCUAUGUUGGCCGGGCGACGGUUGUCCCGGUUUAAGCGUGUAGGUGUGUGUUCCAGGUAAAUCCGGUUCACUUUAACACUGAGGCGUGACGACGAGGCACUACGGUGCUGAAGCAACAAAUGCCCUGCUUCCAGGAAAAGCCUCUAAGCAUCAGGUAACACGAAAUCGUACCCCAAACCGACACAGGUGGUCAGGUAGAGAAUACCAAGGCGCUUGAGAGAACUCGGGUGAAGGAACUAGGCAAAAUGGUGCCGUAACUUCGGGAGAAGGCACGCUGACACGUAGGUGAAGUGAUUUACUCAUGGAGCUGAAGUCAGUCGAAGAUACCAGCUGGCUGCAACUGUUUAUUAAAAACACAGCACUGUGCAAACACGAAAGUGGACGUAUACGGUGUGACGCCUGCCCGGUGCCGGAAGGUUAAUUGAUGGGGUCAGCGCAAGCGAAGCUCCUGAUCGAAGCCCCGGUAAACGGCGGCCGUAACUAUAACGGUCCUAAGGUAGCGAAAUUCCUUGUCGGGUAAGUUCCGACCUGCACGAAUGGCGUAAUGAUGGCCAGGCUGUCUCCACCCGAGACUCAGUGAAAUUGAACUCGCUGUGAAGAUGCAGUGUACCCGCGGCAAGACGGAAAGACCCCGUGAACCUUUACUAUAGCUUGACACUGAACAUUGAGCCUUGAUGUGUAGGAUAGGUGGGAGGCUUUGAAGUGUGGACGCCAGUCUGCAUGGAGCCGACCUUGAAAUACCACCCUUUAAUGUUUGAUGUUCUAACGUGGACCCGUAAUCCGGGUUGCGGACAGUGUCUGGUGGGUAGUUUGACUGGGGCGGUCUCCUCCUAAAGAGUAACGGAGGAGCACGAAGGUUGGCUAAUCCUGGUCGGACAUCAGGAGGUUAGUGCAAUGGCAUAAGCCAGCUUGACUGCGAGCGUGACGGCGCGAGCAGGUGCGAAAGCAGGUCAUAGUGAUCCGGUGGUUCUGAAUGGAAGGGCCAUCGCUCAACGGAUAAAAGGUACUCCGGGGAUAACAGGCUGAUACCGCCCAAGAGUUCAUAUCGACGGCGGUGUUUGGCACCUCGAUGUCGGCUCAUCACAUCCUGGGGCUGAAGUAGGUCCCAAGGGUAUGGCUGUUCGCCAUUUAAAGUGGUACGCGAGCUGGGUUUAGAACGUCGUGAGACAGUUCGGUCCCUAUCUGCCGUGGGCGCUGGAGAACUGAGGGGGGCUGCUCCUAGUACGAGAGGACCGGAGUGGACGCAUCACUGGUGUUCGGGUUGUCAUGCCAAUGGCACUGCCCGGUAGCUAAAUGCGGAAGAGAUAAGUGCUGAAAGCAUCUAAGCACGAAACUUGCCCCGA